GUUGUAAAGCAUGCUGGACGUAUCAGAAGUGCGAAUGCUGACAUGAGUAACGAUAAUGGGAGUGAAAAACUCCCACGCCGGAAGACCAAGGUUUCCUGUCCCAUGCUAAUCAGGGCAGGGUAAGUCGGCCCCUAAGGCGAGGCAGAAAUGCGUAGUCGAUGGGAAGCAGGUUAAUAUUCCUGCACCAGUGGGUAGUGACGGAUCUCGUGUGUCGUCAGUCCUUAUCGGAUUGAACUGGCGGCGAAGAGGUCCCUGGAAAUAGCUCCCACAUGAGACCGUACCCCAAACCGACACAGGUGGUCAGGUAGAGAAUACUAAGGCGCUUGAGAGAACUCGGGUGAAGGAACUCGGCAAAAUUGUACCGUAACUUCGGGAGAAGGUACGCCUCUGUUUGUGAACACUUCGCGUGGUAAGCAAAUGGAGGCCGCAGUGACCAGGUGGCUGGGACUGUUUAUUAAAAACACAGCACUCUGCAAACUCGUAAGAGGACGUAUAGGGUGUGACACCUGCCCGGUGCCGGAAGGUUAAUUGAUGGGGUUAGUUUUCGGACGAAGCUCUUGAUCGAAGCCCCGGUAAACGGCGGCCGUAACAAUAACGGUCCUAAGGUAGCGAAAUUCCUUGUCGGGUAAGUUCCGACCUGCACGAAUGGUGUAACCAUGGCCACGCUGUCUCCACCCGAGACUCAGUGAAAUUGAAAUCGCCGUGAAGAUGCGGUGUAUCCGCGGCUAGACGGAAAGACCCCGUGAACCUUUACUAUAGCUUCACAGUGAACUUUGAGCAUGUUUGUGUAGGAUAGCUGGGAGGCUUUGAAGUGGGAACGCCAGUUCUCAUGGAGCCAACCUUGAAAUACCAGCCUGACAUGUUUGAGGUUCUAACUUGGUCCCCUUAUCGGGGAUGAGGACACUGUGUGGUGGGUAGUUUGACUGGGGCGGUCUCCUCCCAAAGCGUAACGGAGGAGCACAAAGGUGGGCUAAGCAUGGUCGGACAUCAUGCGGUUAGUGUAAUGGCACAAGCCCGCUUAACUGCGAGACAGACACGUCGAGCAGGUACGAAAGUAGGUCAUAGUGAUCCGGUGGUUCUGUAUGGAAGGGCCAUCGCUCAACGGAUAAAAGGUACUCCGGGGAUAAC
rnacentral:rRNA from 11 species